GAACUUCCAUUCUGCAACUCCUUCUCCUCCACUAGUGUGAGCCCUGAAGUGGUCGCGAGGGAGCCUUUCCAAGCAAAAGGAUGAGAUGGUAAGCUUGUGACGAGGUUACCAGCUUGUGACGAGAUGGUUCUUGCGAGUUCAAAACUCGAGCUUUGACGAGAAGAAGAAGCUUAGUGGUGAAGCAACUGUGACCAUGGUUUUGUCUGCUUGUGUUGAUCUUGGUGAUGUGCAGAUGGGAAAAUUUGCAAGGAGCUAAUGGAUCGAGCGAAGACUUGACCUUGGUCGCAAAUGUAUCAUAGCGAUUCUGAUCGUCCUUCUCGACGUUCUGUACCAGAGAAUUUGUGGCUUCGACGUCGUGAUCUCUGUCACCGUCCUCUCCCUGUGGCCACGAGAUUGAUGACGUUCCAAAGCUCUGGCUUGACCUCUGUUACGAAACCACUGCAAAAAGUUAAACAGGAACAAGAUCUCUUUGGGAUUGCAGAUAGUAAUUAUCUGAUCUCCGCACCCGGCUUCCUGCGCUUCACCACCAUGACGUCUUCAAAAGCUCCGUCAACGGCUUUGUUCUCGGCAUUCACCUCGUCACGUCACCAGUGUCAUCAAGGGAUCGUGAGAAUCACGAGGAAAGAGACAACAAGAAGCGCAGUCAAACGUUAGGCUUCAGAUACAUCAAUCUCUUCGAGGCUUUAGGCUCCAUCGUUGCAGUCUUGCGAGAUCAGGAGAUGAGCUUGUUCUUACUGAACUCUUCUCCUCUCCUGUUCGUGCCAGUUGCGGAGAGCUCUAGAGAAGACCUUGGGAGAUCACUGUGAACCAGCCACCUCGCCACAGACGUCUGGAAGCUUGAGACAAAGCUAUCUCAGCAUAUUCAUGAUCCCAGCCGUGACACCUCAAGAAUAUUGGAUAGGAUCGUCAAGACCAAUCUAGUAAAGCCACCGUGUCAUCUCGCCACGAGCUCGACGAACAGAGACGGCCCCGAGAUGAGAAGAGUCAUGAUCUCUACAGCAGCUCAAAGCUUCAAGCUCUGCUCAAGCUCCAAAACGAAAGAAAGAAGGCACUCGCCGUGGGGAACAUAUGAGUGAUCAGACCAUCUCAACCUCUCUUUACGAUCAGCUCAUGAUCAUCCACUUCAAAGAAAAAGUCUCACCAACUCAGCUUCAGAGCUAACUGCUUCUCUAUCAAGUGAUGCUCUCUAGACGAGAUCGCCAGUUGCAUAAAGCUUCUCGUCAGAUCUCCAACAGACAGCUCAUCAAGGCUUCAACUCUUCUUUGGCAGUUUACCAAUUUAUCUUCUACCGACAAAACCACUUGCCGGUCAAAGCUCCACCGCAAAGAUAAGUCCUUUAAUUAUAUUAUCACAUGCUUUCGUGUACACAUGUGUCACAGCAUAUAUUAUAAAUGUGGUUUCAAUCAUUAAACAACUCUAAGCUGCUCACUCUUAUUAUAACUUUUAUGAGAUGACUCUUGUAAUUGCUUUGCUGUUGGUGGACAAUUAUUAUAUGAUCACAUGCAUGUGAGAGCACUAAACAAAAACAAGUUCGAUAGCUUGCAUAUUAAUUAUGCAACAGUUGGUUAUUUCUUUUGGCUUAUAUUAAUCAUGAUCAUGCUUUUUGCUGUGAACCAGAGUUGAUUAGAUCGCUGAGCCAAAGAGAAUCAACAAGCGGCUACCACCAUCAUGUCCUCAUGCUUCGAAGGACAACCCUCAGCUACGAGCUUACUGGAAGCAGUACAAGCGACACAAACCAGCACGCUUUCUCAACAUCAUCAUAGCCUGACGAACACACAAGCCAACAACUUGCUUGGGGCACACGAUCUCAACACGAGACUUCGGGUCGGCAAUAGUUCAAGAUCGACUUCAUCUCUCUCUACGAACUUGGGGGGCUUACUGUUGGGGGUGGAUUUACAUCCUCUCUCAAAGGCCCAUUAGACAUUUAUUUAGGCCCACUUUCUUUAUAAAACCCUAGACAUCUUUCUUCUAUAAAUGGAGAGGUACCUCCAUAUGAGAAAGGAGCGGGACCUCUUUUUAGACUUAAGAACAUAUUUUCAUAUAGAUUUUGUAUUCUAAGGUUCACUUUACCUUUGUAAUCAUCUUGGUGAUGAACCUUUAAUCAAUAAAUCUAUUUUAUGUUCUUUUUCC